rnacentral:rRNA from 1 species
ACGGGAGGCAGCAGUGGGGAAUAUUGCACAAUGGGGGAAACCCUGAUGCAGCGACGCCGCGUGAGUGAAGAAGUAUUUCGGUAUGUAAAGCUCUAUCAGCAGGAAAGAAAAUGACGGUACCUGACUAAGAAGCCCCGGCUAACUACGUGCCAGCAGCCGCGGUAAUACGUAGGGGGCAAGCGUUAUCCGGAUUUACUGGGUGUAAAGGAAGCGUAGACGGUAAGGCAAGUCUGAAGUGAAAUGCCAGGGCUCAACCCUGGAACUGCUUUGGAAACUGUCCUACUAGAGUGCAGGAGAGGUAAGUGGAAUUCCUAGUGUAGCGGUGAAAUGCGUAGAUAUUAGGAGGAACACCAGUGGCGAAGGCGGCUUACUGGACUGUAACUGACGUUGAGGCUCGAAAGCGUGGGGAGCAAACAGGAUUAGAUACCCUGGUA